rnacentral:rRNA from 1 species
UAUUUUUGGGAGUCACUCCAACCCCUGUGACAUACCACUUGUUGCCUCGGCGGAUCAGCCCGCUCCCGGUAAAACGGGACGGCCCGCCAGAGGACCCCUAAACUCUGUUUCUAUAUGUAACUUCUGAGUAAAACCAUAAAUAAAUCAAAACUUUCAACAACGGAUCUCUUGGUUCUGGCAUCGAUGAAGAACGCAGCAAAAUGCGAUAAGUAAUGUGAAUUGCAGAAUUCAGUGAAUCAUCGAAUCUUUGAACGCACAUUGCGCCCGCCAGUAUUCUGGCGGGCAUGCCUGUUCGAGCGUCAUUUCAACCCUCAAGCACAGCUUGGUGUUGGGACUCGCGUUAAUUCGCGUUCCUCAAAUUGAUUGGCGGUCACGUCGAGCUUCCAUAGCGUAGUAGUAAAACCCUCGUUACUGGUAAUCGUCGCGGCCACGCCGUUAAACCCCAACUUCUGAAUGUUGACCUCGGAUCAGGUAGGAAUACCCGCUGAACUUAAGCAUAUCAAUAAGCGGAGGA